UAGGGAAUCUUCGGCAAUGGACGAAAGUCUGACCGAGCAACGCCGCGUGAGUGAAGAAGGUUUUCGGAUCGUAAAACUCUGUUGUUAGAGAAGAACAAGGACGUUAGUAACUGAACGUCCCCUGACGGUAUCUAACCAGAAAGCCACGGCUAACUACGUGCCAGCAGCCGCGGUAAUACGUAGGUGGCAAGCGUUGUCCGGAUUUAUUGGGCGUAAAGCGAGCGCAGGCGGUUUCUUAAGUCUGAUGUGAAAGCCCCCGGCUCAACCGGGGAGGGUCAUUGGAAACUGGGAGACCUGAGUGCAGAAGAGGAGAGUGGAAUUCCAUGUGUAGCGGUGAAAUGCGUAGAUAUAUGGAGGAACACCAGUGGCGAAGGCGGCUCUCUGGUCUGUAACUGACGCUGAGGCUCGAAAGCGUGGGGAGCAAACAGG
rnacentral:rRNA from 1 species